GCCUAGUUAGUUCAAUUGGUUAGAACACCACACCUCAUGACCUGAAUCGUGGAAAUGCAGGUUCAAUUCCUGCACUAGGC